GCACGGCUUCUACGGCAUCUUCCAGAGUGUCUUCCAAAGCAGCUUCUAAGGUAUCCUCCAAAGUACCCUCUGCUCACACCCAAAAGGAUGAUCAUUUUAACGGAGAGAAUAACCGGACGGUAACAUUGAUAAAGACAGAACAGAUAAGGGUAAGCUUACGUAAAUUUAAUUAAUCGUUUCAACAUACAUGUAAACCAAUAAACAGAAUCAAAGCAACAUGUUAUACACACAAUUUCUACACAUGCAUACUAAGUUCAUCCACUUAUGACCGACCACUAAGACACUGUCC
rnacentral:lncRNA from 1 species